UUUUUUUUUUUUAUUUUCUUUAUCAGUUUUUCUUUUUUUAGUUAUGGGCUGGUUAGGCAUGAGAAGUAGGAGUUAAUAAUUUUUACUUUAACUAUUUAACUUUUUUUUUUCUUUUUCUAAACCCUAAUUCCCAUUUAAUUUUCCCUUUUUACUCUUCCAUCAGUCCCUCCCAACUUCUCCCUCACAGCACACAUCAAAAUUGUUCUCUUCUGUUGGAAUUCAUAUUCCAUUUUUGGUGCUUCUAUCCAGUGAGAGUGUGCUUUGUUCGUUUGCGGAGGGUUGUAUCGUUCGUUUGCGGAGGGUGUUUUGUGGCUGGAGACAGUGUCCACAAAUUCACUUUCAGCUAAAGUUUAUUCAGUGUCCACAAAUGUGUUAUAUGGACUAUAGGAAGAUGUUGUAUGGUGGUUAUAUAUAUGAGUGCACGUGUGUGAGAAACAAAUUAGAUAUUUUCUGGUGAAUCUAAUGUCAAAUAAUCCUUACAGAGAGAGAGCAUAAAGAUAUUGAAAAGACAUAAAUUUAUUGACUAAAGAAUAGAUUUCCAGGUUGGAUGAUGGCACACAAGAUUCCAUAUCUUAUUAACGGUCAUGCUUAAGAAGAUACAAAAUAAGACAUUGAUAUUAUCAAGAUCUGUAUUAUGAGUUUCAUGUAUGAUGUCUGCUAUGAUUUUCUUGAUGUUAUUAAAUUAGAAAAUAUAAUUGUCAGUAACAAUUGUAUCCAGUUCAGGAGAAAGUUGGAGUAGGAUUGAUUGGUCUGAAAAUGAAACAAACUUAUUUAAGAUAGGUUAUUUGAUUAAUCUUUUUAAGAACAAGGAUCCACUUAGAAAAGAUGAUAAAAAAUUGUGUAAUUAAAAUAGGUAGAGGGUGAGCAAAGAGAACAUUAGGAAACCUGUUUAAAGAAAUCUUGAUUUAAAUGGAUUUCAUGAAAUUUUGGUUUCUGAUGAAGUUCACUGGCAUUGAUGGAUCCAUUUAUUUAUCUAACACCACCUGGUGAGAUAAGGCUUGGUGUUAUUGUUUGUUUUAGAAUUAGCUAAUUACUGAACACUAUUCUUAACCCCCAUUUUAUUAGUCUGUAACUAAAAAUAUUUAAUUCACUGGUGCAGUGGUUUGACACAGACAAAUUACAAAGAAUUGAAACUCUUUGGAUAGAUCUUCUUUGAAAGUACUUAUAAGAGGGGGUAAAUAAGUUCAAAUUUCAUAAGUUAAAUAUUGUCUUAUGCAGAAUUUGAAAUAAACUUGUGAUGAAACUAAACGAGAGAAUUUCUAUAAUAACCUAAUUAUAAAUUAAUUUUAACUUAGAAAAAAAUCAAGUUAUAUUACUUUCUUAUUUUCUUCUCCUGUAAACAUGUAUUGAGAAGUUUAUUCAGACAUAACCUUAAUAUGUCUCUUUUAUUACCUUUCAUUGUUUACCAUUGACAGACUGCAUUGUUCAAUAAUUUCUUAUAUAUAUGAAUAAUUAAAAGUUUAGGUGUUACUUACCUUGAUAGCAUGACAUGUUCUCAAUAAAUGUAUGCAAUUACUUUCUUGUUCUUGGCUAGUAGUAGAUUAUAUCCGAAAUUAUCAAUGUGGUUUUCUAUUCUCUAAGAAAACAUUACUUGCAUAGAAUUUUGGGUUUCUAUAAGUUAACCUCAAAGAAUGAAAUGAAGAGUAAUUGCUUCAAGCAGUUCUCUUGUGGA